rnacentral:rRNA from 1 species
UGGGGAAUUUUGGACAAUGGGCGCAAGCCUGAUCCAGCCAUGCCGCGUGAGUGAAGAAGGCCUUCGGGUUGUAAAGCUCUUUCGGCGGGGACGAAAUGGUUCGUGCCAAUACCACGGACUGAUGACGGUACCUGAAGAAGAAGCACCGGCUAACUACGUGCCAGCAGCCGCGGUAAUACGUAGGGUGCAGGCGUUAAUCGGAAUUACUGGGCGUAAAGCGUGCGCAGGCGGUUUGUUAAGACAGAUGUGAAAUCCCGGGGCUCAACCUCGGAACUGCCUUUGAUACAGCAAGUCUUGAGUCCGAUAGAGGUGGUGGAAUUCCUAGUGUAGAGGUGAAAUUCGUAGAUAUUAGGAAGAACACCGGUGGCGAAGGCGGCCCACUGGAUCGGUACUGACGCUGAGGUGCGAAAGCGUGGGGAGCAAACAGGAUUAGAUACCCACGUAGUCCCUGAGCGGGCUGGCAAGGCGCAU